rnacentral:lncRNA from 10 species
CGAUGUCAACAGUGCAUUUAAAUUUUCCUGCAGAGAGGAAAUAUGCAGAUCACAAUGAAGGACAAGCUGUGAAAUGCCUAGAUUCCAGAGCAACAGACUGUGAUCCAUUCCCAACAACCCCUCCCUACCGUCUGCCACCAGUUCCCUUAAAGCAGGAAUCAGAGCUAGACUGACUCAACUAAGGCAAGAAGCUUGACAUAGCAUCGAUGAGCCCAAGUCAACUAUAUGAACAAAACAAUGUCUCAGGAGGGGCAGGGUAUCACGUCAGAAGAAUCCUGAGUCCUUAGAUGACCUUGUAGAAAAGAGCCACAAACUUACUCUGGGCUACCUUCAUACCUCUGAACUAUUAUGCAGAGAGAAAUAAAUGUAUUCAAAUCACUGUUUUUUGGGUUUCUUCAUUCAUGUAGCUUAGCCUAUAACCUAAGUAA